UACGUAGGGUGCGAGCGUUGUCCGGAAUUACUGGGCGUAAAGAGCUCGUAGGCGGUUUGUCGCGUUGUCCGUGAAAACUCACAGCUUAACUGUGGGCGUGCGAGCGAUACGGGCAGACUGGAGUACUGCAGGGGAGACUGGAAUUCCUGGUGUAGCGGUGGAAUGCGCAGAUAUCAGGAGGAACACCAGUGGCGAAGGCGGGUCUCUGGGCAGUAACUGACGCUGAGGAGCGAAAGCGUGGGGAGCAAACAGG
rnacentral:rRNA from 1 species